rnacentral:misc_RNA from 1 species
GGAACUAUGAAUCUCUUCUUUUGGCUUUCUCCAACAUAAACUGCGAUGAACCCCUUUGGAACUGAAGCUACCUGAUUAGCAAGAAAAUUUGUUCGAGAUAGAAUUCGCUUAGCAUGCAUAACACCCCGGAAAAGAAUAGCCAUUGCUGUAAUUUUUCUUUCCUAUUGCUUCACACAAUGAUGAUCUCAAAUACCUUGGUGUAGAAAGAUUUUCUUUCAAGGCUU